rnacentral:lncRNA from 1 species
UUUUAUAUUCCAAAAAUAUUAAAUAUUUAUGAAAUAUACUCAAAAUAAUUAAAAACUAUUUUUCGGACUUUAAAAUAAUUUUUCAGAAUUUAUUUGGUAUUUUUAAUAAUUAAAAUCUAAUUUUUCUAAUUUUUAAAUUAAUUUUCGGAAAAUAAUAAUAAUAACCGUCGCUAAAGGCCCCUGUAGCGACAGAACCGUCGCUAUAGGUGUUCUUC